UACAGAGGUCUCAAGCGUUGUUCGGAUUCAUUGGGCGUAAAGGGUGUGUAGGUGGCGCGCUAAGUCGGGGUGUGAAAUUUCGGAGCUUAACUCCGAAACUGCAUUCGAUACUGGCGUGCUUGAGGACUGGAGAGGAGACUGGAAUUCUCGGUGUAGCGGUGAAAUGCGUAGAUAUCGAGAGGAACACCUGCGGCGAAGGCGGGUUGCUGGGCUGACACUGACGCUGGAUGCGCGAAAGCCAGGGGAGCGAACGGG
rnacentral:rRNA from 1 species